rnacentral:misc_RNA from 1 species
UCCUCUUUACAGAGGCAGUUUGUUCCGAGUUCCCGACAUUACUCGCUGGCAACAGAACAUGAGGGUUGCGCUCGUUGCGGGACUUAACCCAACAUUUCACAACACGAGCUGACGACAGCCAUGCACCACCUGUGUAUCACCCUCGAAGGCGACUACUUUUCGGUAGCUUGCAGAUACAUGUCAAGCCCUGGUAAGGUUCUUCGCGUUGCAUCGAAUUAAGCCACAUGCUCCACCGCUUGUGCGGGCCCCCGCCAAUUCCUUUGAGUUUUAGUCUUGCGACCGUAGUUCCCAGGCGGAUCACUUAAUGCGUUAGCUGCGGCACCGAGGCAAAGCCCCAACACCUAGUGAUCAUCGUUUAUGGCUAAGACUAC